AUGGAUGAUGUCAAAUUCUUUGCUGAAACUUUGAAACAUUUUGGAGAGGUCACUGGACUGAUCACGAACUACAACAAAAGCCUUGUCUCCCCAAUCCAUUGUGAAAAUCUCGACCUCACAUACAUCCUUCAAUCAUUCCCGGCCAACCGUUCUUCAUUCCCUAUGAAAUAUCUUGGUCUCCCUCUGUCAGUGAAGAGGCUGAAGCGAAUCCACUUUCAACUGCUUGAGGAUAAGAUUGUGGCCCAACUUGCGCCUUUGUUGGGAAAACAUGUGGCCUCUCCUGGGAGGGCUGUUUUGGUAAAAUUUGUUCUAAUAGUCACUGCAAUUUACUUCAUGACAGCCUUGAAUCUUCCGGUCGAGCUCAUGAACAAGAUUGAUGCUCUGUGGCGGGCUUAUUUAUGGGCAGGACGUGAUAAAGUUACCGGAGGCAAAUGCAAAAUUAACAGGGAGCAAGUUUGCAAAUCAAAAACUCAAGGAGGCCUGGGUAUCCUAAAUUUUAAAAAGUUUGCCACUGCACUACGUAUUCGGUGGUUGUGGUUUGAAUGGAUGGACCCGAUCAAACCUUGGGUGGGUCUUGGGAAUCCAUGUGACAAGGCUGACCGUGCCAUUUUUUGGGGCUGCUACAAAGGUGGAAGUUGGUGA
rnacentral:rRNA from 1 species